rnacentral:rRNA from 1 species
UACGGAGGGUGCAAGCGUUGUCCGGAAUCACUGGGCGUAAAGGGCGCGUAGGCGGCCUGGUAAGUAGGGGGUGAAAUCCUGCGGCUUAACCGCAGGGCUGCCUUCUAAACUGUCAGGCUUGAGCACGGUAGAGGCAGAUGGAAUUCCCGGUGUAGCGGUGGAAUGCGUAGAGAUCGGGAAGAACAUCAGUGGCGAAGGCGGUCUGCUGGGCCGUUGCUGACGCUGAGGCGCGACAGCGUGGGGGAGCAAACAGG